AUUCUUUCUUUCUUCUUCAAUUCAAGAAACGAAUGAAACAAAAAAACGCACACAUUGUGGAGUGCGAGCGACACAUCCAUUCUUUGUUCUUCAAUAAUCGAAUGAAACAAAAACCUCUGUGUGAGGAUGUUCGGUGGUUCGCUCAAUCAUCUUUAUUAUUUGCAACAUCAACAAACAACAUUCAAUUUUCUGCUUGAAAAAAGACAACCAAUGAGAUAUAAGGAUGCUUGCAAUGUGAUCAAUGGAGGAAACCAUAAUGAGGUUGUAUCUGAUAACAUUCGGUGGGUGUUGGCAUAAUUAAGCAUCAGUCAGAUAGCACUAGAUUUGUGUUGAUAUUUAAUAAUUGUUCAUCAUGCUAAUAAUGUGGUUAACUCCCAAUGUUCGACGGUGAUUUGGAAACCAAAAUCUCAUGGAACUGUUCUUGGAGGGAAGGCUGAUUCAGAUGUGGCUUCAUGCAACCUUUUGAAAAUGAAAAGUCAGAUCAAGAGGUCCAGCAUGCUAAUAAGGUGGCAAGUUCCCGAAGGUUCAACGGCGAAACUGAAAUCUCAUGGAACUGUUAGUGGAGGACUGUAACUGAAGUUUAAAGCAUGCUGGUGAAGGGAUUGUUGAUGGUUCAGGUAUUGGUGUUGAUGUGGCUUCAUCCACGAAUCAAAACAACUUUGAAAUUGAAAAGUCAGCUCAAGAGGUAUAUGAUUCCAGUCUCAUUUUUUUUAUGUUUUGAUUUCAUAAGUGAUGGUUAUAUUAUUGAAUUUUUUCUUCAUAAUAAUUGUUCGAGUCUCAGACUUAUGGGAUAUUAGACAAUCAAACACAAUUAUUGCAAGAACAUUCAAAAGAAAUUGAUAUAUGUCCCAAGAACUUUCAAUCUUCUGCUUAUUGGAAAUUUCACUCCAAAAUAUUUGCCCCGUUUGGUUUAUAAUCAACACCUAUUGGGAACGAUGAUGGGUUGUUGCUUUUUUCAUUCUUGAGUAUCCAAGAACUUUCAAUCUUCUGUUUCGGAAAAAAAUGAACCUUCAAUUUUUGUGAGAUUAUAUGUCUUGAUGCCCAAAAAUAUUGGAUGAACUUAAUGUCCAUAGUCCUUGAAUGUGAAAACUAGUUGUUGUCUUAAUUGCCACUCAAGAUGUUAUCUCUGUCGAUGUUCUCUUUUUUCUCAAAAAUAAAUUAUGAAUGGAUAUCUAUUUUGAUUUGAUGACCCUUAGUACCUAAUUUCAAUUUUUCAGCUGCAAUUAUAAGUGCUUUUGUAUUAUGAACUUAAUGACCCUAGUUCCUAAUGUUUCAAUGACCUUGGAGUAAAUGCAUUACAAACUCUUUACUCAUAAAGGAAAAGUUGGAGGGUGGCCUUUAAAGAAGUUGGACGGUGUAUGGUCUCUACUGUCUUAUUAUGACCCUAAUUGUAGAACUGUCAUUGAGAUUAUUAGUUUUUCUUCAUUAUCUAUAAAGGGUGGUAUGGUAUACAUGAGCCCACUAACUCCAAAUUCAAUAAUAAGAUGGUUAUACUUUUUUCCAUGUUUUUUGUAAGAGAUUGUCUUGAUAACCCAAAAAUGUUGGAUGAUGCCAUAAUGCGAAAGCUAUUUGUUACCUUAAAUGCAAUUUUAAUAUAGCUAUUGUGCUUUUAAGGCAUUAAGGCAUAAAUAUUAGCUAUUGUUCUUUUAUGACUCUAGUCCCUAAAAGCAAUUUUGCAACUACAAUAUAAAGUGAUUUUGCCAAUGCAAAAUGGAGUGCAUGCUUGUGUUGAAUUAGCCUAUUGAUAAAGGUUUCAAAGGAAUUCUCUAAGGAAGAAACGAUUCAACUAAAGAAAAGUACAAGAAACUAACUCUUUGAAGUUUGAACUAUUUCUCACAGUAUUUAUGUGGUAUAUAUGGAAUUAAGCUGACCACCUGUGUCAUAUAAGGAUCCUUGCAUUGCAAUCAAUGGAGGAAAGCAUAACAAGUUUGUAUGUGUCAAUAUUUUUUAAUGCAGGUGGAUGUAUAAGAAUCAUAUAGCACUAGAUUUUUGUUGAUAAUUAUAAAUGCAAAUCUUGGAUUUAGUAACUGAAUACAGGUGGCCUCUCCGGUAUGCAGUCUAAAAACUUGUUGUGGUGAUUGUUGAUAGCUCUUUCAGACAAUAUUAUUAUGUAACAGGUAUGCUCUGUACCGAGAACCUUGAAAGAUAUUUUCAUUCAUGCUUGUUGAGAUACCUAUUUUUUUUCAUUUUAGAUUUAGUCAAGAACAUUCAAUCUUCUACUUAAAAAAACAGAGCCUUACCCAUUAUUCUUAUUCUUGAUUAUUCAAGAACAUUCAAUUUUCUGCUUGAGAAAAAAGCGAGCCUUCAAUUUUGUUAAUCAUAAUUUAAAAGGGUAUAAAAAUCCUAUAAGACUGUGAAUCAUCGUGUGAUGGAAUCUAUUUUAAUUAUCUGAAAAAGGGGUAGAGUAUAUUGCCCUAGUAACCCCAAAUUUGACCGUUGGAAUCUUUUUAUAAGUUUUGUAAUGGAUGGAUCAUAGAUGUCUCAAUGACCAUAGAGUAAAAUGUUGGAUGAACUUAAUGACCCUAGUUCCUUAAUGUGAAAGCUAGUUGCUUUAAUUGCCACUCAAACAAUUGUCUGUAACGGUGUCCUAUUUUCUGUCAAAAAGUAUACUCGUAUAUGAACUUUUAUUCAUAAUACAUGAAUGAAUAUCUAAUAUAUUGUGCUUUGAUAAUCCUUAGUCCCUAAAUUCAGUUUUGCAACUGCAAUUAGAAGUGAUUUUGCAUCAUGAUCCUAAUGACCCUGUUCUCUAAUGUUUCAUUAGUUUUGUAAGUAAUGAAUGCCUCAAUAAGACAAUAACCUCAUAGUAAAAUGCAUUAUGAUCCAAAUCGUGAAACUGUCACUGAGAUAAAUGUUUUUAAUUAUCUAUAAAGUGUGGUGUGGUAAACAUGAGCCCACUAACUCCAAAUUCAAUAAUAACAUAAUAAGAUGAAUAUACCUCGUUCCUUUAUUUUUGUACGGGAUUUUCUUGAUGGCCUAUGGAUGAUGCUUUAAUGUGAAAGUUAAUUGAUGCGAAGGAUUAUCAAGUGAUGAGCUAUUCAUGUUUUUUUUAUUGUGAUUGGUAUUGGCUUUCAGUAUGAUUGUUGGUUAUCUUUUCUAUUGUGAGAGCAUUAUCUUUUUUAUUUCAUUAUGAUUGUUUGUAUUAGAUUUAUGAUUUCAAACAUGGUUGAAUAAGAAUAUAACAACAUAUUCUUAUAUAUAGAGGAACUUUUGUUCAACAGUGGUACACUGGUGCAGUUCUGUAAUAGAAGGCUGUUUAUAAUCCAUUUAGAUUCAUUAUGACACCACUCUGUACCUUGAAUGUGAAAUCUGUUUGUUGUCUUAAUUACUACUUAAGCAAUUGUCUUUAUCGGUGUCCUCUUUUCUAUUAAAAAAAUUAUGAAUUUUUAUUCAUAAUAAUGCAUGAAUGGAUAUAUGUUCUGCUUUGAUGACCCUCUUAAAAGACAAUUUUUUGUUUGUCACGAUAAGUGAAUUUCACUCGUUUUCAGAAUUUUCAUUCUAACAUAUUUACCCCAUCUGGUUUAUAAUCGAUACAUGUUAGGAACUAUGGUGGGUUUCCAAUUUUAAAGGGUAUAAAAACCAUGUAAGACUGUGAAUCAUUUUGUGAUAGAAUCUUUUUCAUUAUCUGAAAAAUGGGUGCAGUAUAUUGCCCUAAUAACCCUAUAUUUGACCAUUGAAAUCGAUGAAUAUACUAUAUUUUAUAAAUUUUGUAACGGAUGAAUAUAGAUGUCUCAAUGACCAGAGUAAAAUGUUGGAUAAACUUAAUGACUCUAGUCCCUAAAUGUGAAAGCUAGUUGUUCCCUUAAUUGCUACUAAAGGCAAGCAAUUGUCUCUAUCAGUUUCUGCUUUUCUAUUAAAAAAAGUAUGAAUUUUUAUUCAUAAUA